rnacentral:rRNA from 1 species
AGAGUUUGAUCCUGGCUCAGAACGAACGCUGGCGGCGUGCUUAAGGCAUGCAAGUCGUGCGAGAAAGCCACCUUCGGGUGGUGAGUACAGCGGCGCACGGGUGAGUAACGCGUGGGUAAUCUGCCUUCGGGUCUGGGACAACACCGGGAAACUGGUGCUAAUACCGGAUAAGACCACGAUGACUUCGGUCGAUGCGGAAAAAGGUGGCCUCUCCUUGGAAGCUACCGCCCGAUGAUGAGCCCGCGUCCCAUUAGCUUGUUGGUGGGGUAAAAGCCUACCAAGGCUUCGAUGGGUAGCUGGUCUGAGAGGACGAUCAGCCACACUGGAACUGAGACACGGUCCAGACUCCUACGGGGGGCAGCAGCCGGGAAUCUUGGGCAAUGGGCGCAAGCCUGACCCAGCAACGCCGCGUGAGGGAUGAAGGCCCUCGGGUCGUAAACCUCUGUCGGGAGGGAAGAAAUGGCCGUAGGCGAAUAGUCUGCGGUUUUGACGGUACCUCCAAAGGAGGCACCGGCUAACUCCGUGCCAGCAGCCGCGGUAAUACGGAGGGUGCAAGCGUUGUUCGGAAUUACUGGGCGUAAAGCGGGCGCAGGCGGCUUGACAGGUCGGGUGUGAAAUCCCGGGGCUCAACCCCGGAACUGCACUCGAAACCGUCUCGCUAGAGUCCCGGAGAGGAUGGCGGAAUUCCCGGUGUAGAGGUGAAAUUCGUAGAUAUCGGGAGGAACACCAGUGGCGAAGGCGGCCAUCUGGACGGUGACUGAUGCUCAUGUCCGAAAGCGUGGGGAGCAAACAGGAUUAGAUACCCUGGUAGUCCACGCCGUAAACGUUGAGUGCUCGUCGUCGCGGGUAUUGACCCCUGCGGUGACCAAGCUAACGCAUGAAGCACUCCGCCUGGGGAGUACGGCCGCAAGGCUAAAACUCAAAGGAAUUGACGG